rnacentral:rRNA from 1 species
AAAAGCUCGUAGUUGGAUCUCAGCUCCGGCCGGGCGGUCCACCUUUCGGUGGUUACUGCUUGACGCCGAGCGUUUCGGCGGUUAUUCUUGAUGAUCUUCACCGGUUGUCUCGGGUGACCGCCAAGUUUACUUUGAAAAAAUUAGAGUGCUCAAAGCAGACGUGACGUCUGAAUAAUUGUGCAUGGAAUAAUGGAAUAGGACCUCGGUUCUAUUUUGUUGGUUUUCGGAACACGAGGUAAUGAUUAAGAGGGACAGACGGGGGCAUUCGUAUUGCGACGCUAGAGGUGAAAUUCUUGGACCGUCGCAAGACGAACUACUGCGAAAGCAUUUGCCAAGAAUGUUUCCAUUAAUCAAGAACGAAAGUUAGAGGUUCGAAGGCGAUCAGAUACCGCCCUAGUUCUAACCAUAAACGAUGCCAGCCAGCAAUCCGCCUGUGUUCCUCAAAUGACACGGCGGGCGGCUUCCGGGAAACCAAAGCUUUUGGGUUCCGGGGGAAGUAUGGUUGCAAAGCUGAAACUUAAAGGAAUUGACGGAAGGCCACACCAGAAAUGGAGCCUGCGGCUUAAUUUGACUCAACACGGGGAAACUUACCCGGCCCGGACACAGGAAGGAUUGACAGAUUAAGAGCUCUUUCUUGAUUCUGUGGGUAGUGGUGCAUGGUCGUUCGUAGUUGGUGGGGCGACUUGUCUGGUUAAUUCCGAUAACGAACGAGACUCUAGCCUACUAAAUAGACGUUCCGAUCAUCUUUAGUCGGACGUUCUUCUUAGAGGGACAGGCGGCGUCUAGCCGCACGAGACAGAGCAAUAACAGGUCUUGGAUGCCCUUAGAUGUCCGGGGCCGCACGCGCGCUACAUUGAAGGAAUCAGCGUGUGCUUUCCCUGUCCGAAAGGACUGGGUAACCCGUUGAACCUCCUUCGUGCUGGGGAUUGGCGCCUGUAAUUUCUCGCCAUGAACGAGGAAUUCCCAGUAAGCACGAGUCAUCAGCUCGUGUUGAUUACGUCCCUGGCCUUUGUGCACACCGCCCGUCGCUACUACCGAUUGAAUGAUUUAGUGAGGUCUUCGGACUGGCGCUCGGAUUGGCCUUCGCGGUCGAGCCGGUGUGCCGGAAAGAUGACCAAACUUGAUCAUUUAGAGGAAGUAAAAGUCGUAACAAGGUUUU